CAGCCGUAAACUAUGCGCGUUAGGUGUAUCGGUGACCACGAGUUACCGAGGUGCCGAAGGGAAACCGUGAAACGUGCCGCCUGGGAAGUACGGUCGCAAGGCUGAAACUUAAAGGAAUUGGCGGGGGGAGCACCACAACAGGUGGAGCCUGCGGUUUAAUUGGACUCAACGCCGGACAACUCACCGGGAACGACAGCAAUAUGUAGGCCAGGCUGAAGACCUUGCCUGAAUCGCUGAGAGGAGGUGCAUGGCGUAGACGUCU
rnacentral:rRNA from 1 species